UACAGAGGGUGCAAGCGUUGUUCGGAAUUAUUGGGCGUAAAGGGCGCGUAGGCGGUGCCACAAGUCACCUGUGAAAUCUCCGGGCUUAACUCGGAGCCUGCAGGCGAAACUGUGGUGCUGGAGUGUGGGAGAGGUGCGUGGAAUUCCCGGUGUAGCGGUGAAAUGCGUAGAUAUCAGGAGGAACACCUGUGGUGUAGACGGCUUACUGGACCAUGACUGACGCUGAGGCACGAAAGCGUGGGGAGCAAACAGG
rnacentral:rRNA from 1 species